rnacentral:rRNA from 1 species
CGGCGUCGAGCGGCGGACGGGUGAGUAAUGCCUAGGAAAUUGCCCUGAUGUGGGGGAUAACCAUUGGAAACGAUGGCUAAUACCGCAUGAUGCCUACGGGCCAAAGAGGGGGACCUUCGGGCCUCUCGCGUCAGGAUAUGCCUAGGUGGGAUUAGCUAGUUGGUGAGGUAAGGGCUCACCAAGGCGACGAUCCCUAGCUGGUCUGAGAGGAUGAUCAGCCACACUGGAACUGAGACACGGUCCAGACUCCUACGGGAGGCAGCAGUGGGGAAUAUUGCACAAUGGGCGCAAGCCUGAUGCAGCCAUGCCGCGUGUGUGAAGAAGGCCUUCGGGUUGUAAAGCACUUUCAGUCGUGAGGAAGGUAGUGUAGUUAAUAGCUGCAUUAUUUGACGUUAGCGACAGAAGAAGCACCGGCUAACUCCGUGCCAGCAGCCGCGGUAAUACGGAGGGUGCGAGCGUUAAUCGGAAUUACUGGGCGUAAAGCGCAUGCAGGUGGUUUGUUAAGUCAGAUGUGAAAGCCCGGGGCUCAACCUCGGAAUUGCAUUUGAAACUGGCAGACUAGAGUACUGUAGAGGGGGGUAGAAUUUCAGGUGUAGCGGUGAAAUGCGUAGAGAUCUGAAGGAAUACCGGUGGCGAAGGCGGCCCCCUGGACAGAUACUGACACUCAGAUGCGAAAGCGUGGGGAGCAAACAGGAUUAGAUACCCUGGUAGUCCACGCCGUAAACGAUGUCUACUUGGAGGUUGUGGCCUUGAGCCGUGGCUUUCGGAGCUAACGCGUUAAGUAGACCGCCUGGGGAGUACGGUCGCAAGAUUAAAACUCAAAUGAAUUGACGGGGGCCCGCACAAGCGGUGGAGCAUGUGGUUUAAUUCGAUGCAACGCGAAGAACCUUACCUACUCUUGACAUCCAGAGAACUUUCCAGAGAUGGAUUGGUGCCUUCGGGAACUCUGAGACAGGUGCUGCAUGGCUGUCGUCAGCUCGUGUUGUGAAAUGUUGGGUUAAGUCCCGCAACGAGCGCAACCCUUAUCCUUGUUUGCCAGCGAGUAAUGUCGGGAACUCCAGGGAGACUGCCGGUGAUAAACCGGAGGAAGGUGGGGACGACGUCAAGUCAUCAUGGCCCUUACGAGUAGGGCUACACACGUGCUACAAUGGCGCAUACAGAGGGCGGCCAACUUGC